rnacentral:rRNA from 1 species
CCUACGGGUGGCAGCAGUCGAGAAUCAUUCACAAUGGGGGAAACCCUGAUGGUGCGACGCCGCGUGGGGGAAUGUAGGUCUUCGGAUUGUAAACCCCUGUCAUGUGGGAGCAAAUUAAAAAGAUAGUACCACAAGAGGAAGAGACGGCUAACUCUGUGCCAGCAGCCGCGGUAAUACAGAGGUCUCAAGAGUUGUUCGGAAUCACUGGGCGUAAAGCGUGCGUAGGCGGUUUCGUAAGUCGUGUGUGAAAGUCGGGGGCUCAACCCGCGGACGGCACAUGAUACUGCGAGACUAGAGUAAUGGAGGGGGAGCCGGAAUUCUCGGUGUAGCAGUGAAAUGCGUAGAUAUCGAGAGGAACACUCGUGGCGAAGGCGGGUUCCUGGACAUUAACUGACGCUGAGGCACGAAGGCCAGGGGAGCGAAAGGGAGUAGAUACCCCUGUAGUC